rnacentral:rRNA from 1 species
UACGGAGGGUCCAAGCGUUAUCCGGAAUCAUUGGGUUUAAAGGGUCCGUAGGCGGUUUUGUAAGUCAGUGGUGAAAGCCCAUCGCUCAACGGUGGAACGGCCAUUGAUACUGCUAAACUUGAAUUAUUAGGAAGUAACUAGAAUAUGUAGUGUAGCGGUGAAAUGCUUAGAGAUUACAUGGAAUACCAAUUGCGAAGGCAGGUUACUACUAAUGGAUUGACGCUGAUAGACGAAAGCGUGGGUAGCGAACAGG